AGAGGAUUAGGCGUGGACUGAGGGUGCAGUGGGAAAGAGGCAGCAGGGAAGACCCAGCUCUACUCCCAGAGCAUUCGCCAUGCCCUACCUGCUGUCAGGAUUCUUCUGUGACUGUGUGAUCCAAGAGAGGGACAGGAGAAAUGGAGAGGGCACCAUCGCACAGCCCCUCAAGUUUGAGGGGCAGGAUUUUGUUGUUCUCAAAGAUGUCUGGCCCAGAAGUGCCUCUUUGAAGAUUGUGUGUUCCUAGCAGGUGUUCAGGCCCUGGCCUCCCAUGAGCUGAGCCACAAAACCAAGAUUUAGGCCAUCACAUGGAAAAGGCCAAAGGAAAUUUGCGAGAAUCCCCGAUUUAUCAUUGAUGGAGCCAACAGAACUGACAUCUGUCAAGGAGAGCUAGGGGACUGCUGGUUUCUCGCAGCCAUUGCCUGCCUGACCCUGAACCAGCACCUUCUUUUCCGAGUCAUACCCCAUGAUCAAAGUUUCAUCGAAAACUACGCAGGGAUCUUCCACUUCCAGUUCUGGCGCUAUGGAGAGUGGGUGGACGUGGUUAUUGAUGACUGCCUGCCAACGUACAACAAUCAACUGGUUUUCACCAAGUCCAACCACCGCAAUGAGUUCUGGAGCGCUCUGCUGGAGAAGGCUUAUGCUAAGCUCCAUGGUUCCUACGAAGCUCUGAAAGGUGGGAACACCACAGAGGCCAUGGAGGACUUCACAGGAGGGGUGACAGAGUUUUUUGAGAUCAGGGAUGCUCCUAGUGACAUGUACAAGAUCAUGAAGAAAGCCAUCGAGAGAGGCUCCCUCAUGGGCUGCUCCAUUGAUACAAUCAUUCCGGUACAGUAUGAGACAAGAAUGGCCUGCGGGCUGGUCAGAGGUCACGCCUACUCUGUCACGGGGCUGGAUGAGGUCCUGUUCAAAGGUGAGAAAGUGAAGCUGGUGCGGCUGCGGAAUCCCUGGGGCCAGGUGGAGUGGAACGGUUCUUGGAGUGAUAGAUGGAAGGACUGGAGCUUUGUGGACAAAGAUGAGAAGGCCCGUCUGCAGCACCAGGUCACUGAGGAUGGAGAGUUCUGGAUGUCCUAUGAGGAUUUCAUCUACCAUUUCACAAAGUUGGAGAUCUGCAACCUCACGGCCGAUGCUCUGCAGUCUGACAAGCUUCAGACCUGGACAGUGUCUGUGAACGAGGGCCGCUGGGUACGGGGUUGCUCUGCCGGAGGCUGCCGCAACUUCCCAGAUACUUUCUGGACCAACCCUCAGUACCGUCUGAAGCUCCUGGAGGAGGACGAUGACCCUGAUGACUCGGAGGUGAUUUGCAGCUUCCUGGUGGCCCUGAUGCAGAAGAACCGGCGGAAGGACCGGAAGCUAGGGGCCAGUCUCUUCACCAUUGGCUUCGCCAUCUACGAGGUUCCCAAAGAGAUGCAUGGGAACAAGCAGCACCUGCAGAAGGACUUCUUCCUGUACAACGCCUCCAAGGCCAGGAGCAAAACCUACAUCAACAUGCGGGAGGUGUCCCAGCGCUUCCGCCUGCCUCCCAGCGAGUACGUCAUCGUGCCCUCCACCUACGAGCCCCACCAGGAGGGGGAAUUCAUCCUCCGGGUCUUCUCUGAAAAGAGGAACCUCUCCGAGGAAGUUGAAAAUACCAUCUCCGUGGAUCGGCCAGUGCCACAGCCUGGCAGCUCUGACCAGGAAAGUGAGGAACAGCAACAAUUCCGGAACAUUUUCAAGCAGAUAGCAGGAGAUGACAUGGAGAUCUGUGCAGAUGAGCUCAAGAAGGUCCUUAACACAGUCGUGAACAAACACAAGGACCUGAAGACACACGGGUUCACACUGGAGUCCUGCCGUAGCAUGAUUGCGCUCAUGGAUACAGAUGGCUCUGGAAAGCUCAACCUGCAGGAGUUCCACCACCUCUGGAACAAGAUUAAGGCCUGGCAGAAAAUUUUCAAACAUUAUGACACAGACCAGUCCGGCACCAUCAACAGCUACGAGAUGCGAAAUGCAGUCAACGACGCAGGAUUCCACCUCAACAACCAGCUCUAUGACAUCAUUACCAUGCGGUACGCAGACAAACACAUGAACAUCGACUUCGACAGUUUCAUCUGCUGCUUCGUUAGGCUGGAGGGCAUGUUCAGAGCUUUUCAUGCAUUUGACAAGGAUGGAGAUGGUAUCAUCAAGCUCAACGUUCUGGAGUGGCUGCAGCUCACCAUGUAUGCCUGAACCAGGCUGGCCUCAUCCAAAGCCAUGCAGGAUCACUCAGGAUUUCAGUUUCACCUUCUAUUUCCAAAGCCACUUACCUCAAAGGACCCAGCAGCUACACCCCUACAGGCUUCCAGGCACCUCAUCAGUCAUGUUCCUCCUCCAUUUUACCCC
rnacentral:sRNA from 1 species